GACGAACGCUGGCGGCGUGCCUAAUACAUGCAAGUCGAGCGAGACUCUUCGGAGUCUAGCGGCGGACGGGUGAGUAACACGUGGGCAACCUGCCUGUAAGACUGGGAUAACACCGGGAAACCGGUGCUAAUACCAGAUAAUCCUUUUCCUCUCAUGAGGAAAAGCUGAAAGUCGGUUUCGGCUGACACUUACAGAUGGGCCCGCGGCGCAUUAGCUAGUUGGUGAGGUAACGGCUCACCAAGGCGACGAUGCGUAGCCGACCUGAGAGGGUGAUCAGCCACACUGGGACUGAGACACGGCCCAGACUCCUACGGGAGGCAGCAGUAGGGAAUCUUCCACAAUGGACGAAAGUCUGAUGGAGCAACGCCGCGUGAGCGAUGAAGGCCUUCGGGUCGUAAAGCUCUGUUGUUAGGGAAGAACAAGUACCGGAGUAACUGCCGGUACCUUGACGGUACCUAACCAGAAAGCCACGGCUAACUACGUGCCAGCCGCCGCGGUAAUAC
rnacentral:rRNA from 1 species